rnacentral:rRNA from 1 species
AUUGAACGCUGGCGGCAUGCUUUACACAUGCAAGUCGAACGGUAACAGGUUAAGCUGACGAGUGGCGAACGGGUGAGUAAUGCAUCGGAACGUGCCCGAUCGUGGGGGAUAACGCAGCGAAAGCUGCGCUAAUACAGCAUACGAUCUGAGGAUGAAAGCGGGGGACCGUAAGGCCUCGCGCGAUCGGAGCGGCCGAUGUCAGAUUAGGUAGUGGGUGGGGUAAAGGCUCACCAAGCCAACGAUCUGUAGCUGGUCUGAGAGGACGACCAGCCACACUGGGACUGAGACACGGCCCAGACUCCUACGGGAGGCAGCAGUGGGGAAUUUUGGACAAUGGGCGAAAGCCUGAUCCAGCAAUGCCGCGUGCAGGAAGAAGGCCUUCGGGUUGUAAACUGCUUUUGUACGGAGCGAAAAGGCCCUCUCUAAUACAGGGGGUUUAUGACGGUACCGUAAGAAUAAGCACCGGCUAACUACGUGCCAGCAGCCGCGGUAA